GUGAGGAAUAUUGGACAAUGGGCGCAAGCCUGAUCCAGCCAUGCCGCGUGCAGGAAGACGCAUCUAUGGUGUGUAAACUGCUUUUGUACGGGAAGAAACACUCCCUCGUGAGGGAGCUUGACGGUACCGUAAGAAUAAGGAUCGGCUAACUCCGUGCCAGCAGCCGCGGUAAUACGGAGGAUCCAAGCGUUAUCCGGAAUCAUUGGGUUUACAGGGUCCGUAGGCGGUUUAAUAAGUCAGUGGUGAAAGCCCAUCGCUCAACGAUGGAACGGCCAUUGAUACUGUUAGACUUGAAUUACAAGGAAGUAACUAGAAUAUGUAGUGUAGCGGUGAAAUGCUUAGAUAUUACAUGGAAUACCAAUUGCGAAGGCAGGUUACUACUUGUGGAUUGACGCUGAUGGACGAAAGCGUGGGGAGCGAACAGGAUUAGAAACCCUGGUAGUCC
rnacentral:rRNA from 1 species